rnacentral:rRNA from 1 species
AAUGCUUAGGAAUCUGCCUAUUAGUGGGGGACAACAUUCCGAAAGGAAUGCUAAUACCGCAUACGCCCUACGGGGGAAAGCAGGGGAUCUUCGGACCUUGCGCUAAUAGAUGAGCCUAAGUCAGAUUAGCUAGUUGGUGGGGUAAAGGCCUACCAAGGCGACGAUCUGUAGCGGGUCUGAGAGGAUGAUCCGCCACACUGGGACUGAGACACGGCCCAGACUCCUACGGGAGGCAGCAGUGGGGAAUAUUGGACAAUGGGCGAAAGCCUGAUCCAGCCAUGCCGCGUGUGUGAAGAAGGCCUUUUGGUUGUAAAGCACUUUAAGCGAGGAGGAGGCUACUUGGAUUAAUACUCUAGGAUAGUGGACGUUACUCGCAGAAUAAGCACCGGCUAACUCUGUGCCAGCAGCCGCGGUAAUACAGAGGGUGCGAGCGUUAAUCGGAAUUACUGGGCGUAAAGAGUUGCGUAGGUGGCAUAGUAAGCGGGUAGUGAAAGCGUGUGGCUCAACCAUACUCACAUUAUCCGAACUGCUAAGCUAGAGGACGAGAGAGGUUAUUGGAAUUCUCAGUGUAGGAGUGAAAUCCGCAGAUAUUGGGAGG